UUGACUUAACUGCAACAAGUAUAUCAAUGAUAUAAAAUUAUAUAAGCUUAUAUAUCAACCGGACCGGGCUCAGGACCCCAGCAUCGAGAGGGAGGAAAAUGCAAGGACCCGUCAAGAGAGAAUUCAAGAGCCUCCCUCCCCCCCGUGCCCUCCCCCCUUCCAACCACCGUCCGACAUUCCCCUUCCACCUCCUCACACGCCCCUGCCACGCCCUCAUCUUCCCCUGCCACUCCCUGCUGCGUCCCCGCAAGAGGACACACAAGGAGUUUAUUGCGAGAUGCUGCCCGUGAUGAAUGCGGCAUUGCCACCGCGUUCGUAUGCAGAGCAGGAGGAGGGAACUUUUGAGGAAACAAUCAACGACGAUUACGUCAGCGCAGACUUCUUCGGAUAGAUAAGGAAGCUGGCCUGUAACUGCUUUGGCUUCGGGAAGGACCGGGUCGUUCUUAUCAAGGCGACGAUUUAAUCAUGAGGUUUCUUAUCUCCAAGUUCCUUUGCUUAUGCAAGUGUCGCACGAAAUGGAAAUGAGCUGAUGUAGAUUAAAUUAUAUUGAUUGUAAUAUUAUCUUAAUCCUAAACAAUAUGGAAUUCUUACUUCGACUUGAAUCUUUAUAUUUAGAGUUGAAAUACAGUAUUCACCUC